rnacentral:misc_RNA from 1 species
AAGUCGUAACAAGGUUUCCGUAGGUGAACCUGCGGAAGGAUCAUUACCGAGUUAGGGUCGUCCCACGGCCCGACCUCCCAACCCUGUGUCUACUGUACCUUGUCGUUGCUUCGGCGGACCGGUUGACCGACCGGUCUUAACCGCCGGGGACCCGUGCCCUGGAGAGCGUCCGCCGAUGGCCCAACCACAAAACUCUGGUACCGAAAAACUGUCGUCUGAAUUACUUGAUCAUGGAUCAAAAACAAAAAUCUAAAACUUUCAACAACGGAUCUCUUGGUUCUG